AGUGAACGCUGGCGGUAGGCCUAACACAUGCAAGUCGAACGGCAGCACAGGAGAGCUUGCUCUCUGGGUGGCGAGUGGCGGACGGGUGAGGAAUACAUCGGAAUCUACUCUGUCGUGGGGGAUAACGUAGGGAAACUUACGCUAAUACCGCAUACGACCUACGGGUGAAAGCAGGGGACCUUCGGGCCUUGCGCGAUUGAAUGAGCCGAUGUCGGAUUAGCUAGUUGGCGGGGUAAAGGCCCACCAAGGCGACGAUCCGUAGCUGGUCUGAGAGGAUGAGCAGCCACACUGGAACUGAGGCACGGUCCAGACUCCUACGGGAGGCAGCAGUGGGGAAUAUUGGACAAUGGGCGCAAGCCUGAUCCAGCCAUACCGCGUGGGUGAAGAAGGCCUCCGGGUUGUAAAGCCCUUUUGUUGGGAAAGAAAUCCAGCUGGCUAAUACCCGGUUGGGAUGACGGUACCCAAAGAAUAAGCACCGGCUAACUUCGUGCCAGCCGCCGCCGUAA
rnacentral:rRNA from 1 species